AGCCUUCUGUAUCCGUUCUGAGAUUUCGUCACACACCAGACUACAAGGGCUGAUGAGACUUACCAAAAUUUGCAACAAACA
rfam:Schistosoma haematobium scaffold297_7, whole genome shotgun sequence.